ACGCCCAGAAGAUGGGACCAGGAAGGCUUCUGAGCAUCAUAUUUGCAGUCGGGACUGUCUACGGCACCAAGGAAUCUCUGGAGAUUAUUCCUAGCAAUGGGGAGGUGCAGUUGGGAGAGAAGACCAUUUUCUUGUGCAAAGUGAGAGGAAGUGGGGAAGCUGAAUUACUCUGGAUUGACCCCGAGGGGGAAGAAAUCUCA